rnacentral:snRNA from 1 species
AUACUUACCUGGAUGGGGUCAACGGGCGAUCAAGAAGGUUCGUGGCCUAGAUCAAUGGCUCACAUUGCACUUGGUGAGUGCGUUGGUCUACCAUCUCCUAAGUGGGAGAGUGGAUGUCGUAAUUUGUGAUAGAGGGGGUACGCGUUCGCGCGGCCUCUGC